rnacentral:rRNA from 1 species
UACAGAGGCCCCAAGCGUUACUGAGAAUCACUGGGUUUAAAGGGUGCGUAGGUGGCGCGUUAAGUCCGUUGUGAAAUCCCUUGGCUCAACCAAGGAAUGGCUUCGGAUACUGGCGUGCUUGAGGCCGGUAAGGGUCACUGGAACUGACGGUGGAGCGGUGAAAUGCGUAGAUAUCGUCAGGAACGCCAAUGGUGAAGACAGGUGACUGGGCCGGUUCUGACACUGAGGCACGAAGGCGUGGGGAGCGAACGGG